rnacentral:miRNA from 7 species
CUCUCUGCCCAACUCUCCAGUCUGUCCAGGUCUCACUGAAUGGCAGCACGGCCUUU